UCCGGCGAUGUGAUGUCCGUAGUGUGGCGUAUCUCCACUUGUUCUGGGUUCACCGUGGUUGGGUUGGAAGUAGCAUGUCGCUAGCCUGCGUUUUUGUCCGCUCGAGGCUUAAGCUGUGUGUUUGGGACUCUGGCCCUUUGGCCUUUGGGUUGGGUUUUCUGCUUUUGGAUCGUUUGUUUGUUUCAGCAUCAAACUUGUUGGUUUCUGCGACGAACUGCUCCGUGUGUUUCAGUUUCAGUUAGAGAUUUCCGAAUUCGAAUUAUUAUAUCCAGUUGCACCCUUUCUGAUCAGAUUUGAUUCUGGCCAGAUGCUUUUUCAGUGACGAACUCUGGCGAUUGGAUUUGUUCAUGCUUUCACUUAUCCCCAAUCAGUUGUUCUAGCCACCGGCGCCCCUGUACGCCGUAGAAGUGUGCCCUCGAGCUCUUUGUUAAAAUUAAUAGAGAGGUGAUUUCACUGAUCAAAGGGAAGCUAAGUGGCAAAGAGCAAGUGAGAAGUACGCAAGCCUGCUAGCUGAUAAAAAAGCGGAGUUGAAUGCAAAAAGGUGUUGCGUCUGUGAUUGAUGAAACAAAUACAUCCAAUAAUAUUGUUCAGCAGCCGACUUUUGAGUUAGAUGAGAGAACCACGUAUGAUUUUGAUGAUUCAUGGUUGCAUCGGAAUGAUUUUUUCUAAAGAAUUCCAAUGGAAGAUACUAGCACUCUAUACACAACAUAUGCUGUUCUUCUAGAAUUGUCACUUAUCGAGAAGCGGAGAGAGAAAGACAGAGAAAGGUGGAGCAAAAGGUACCCUAAUACGACAGAUGAUAAGAAGGCUAAGAAAAAUGCCAACAAGUGAACAUAUUGGUACAAGGACCUUACAAUUUGCAUUGACGCAAAAAACAGUCUGGUCGAUUAACCAGGGUGCGCACUAGAAAUAUUGAUUGAGAAGAUCAGUUUGACUCGGCUUUAUGGAAACCAGAUGAUCCGAUGCAUGGAGUUGAAGAGAAUGAUUUAGACCAAAUAAACCCAUAGGAUCCUGAAAUGGAGAAUAUGGAAGACGGUGAAGCUCGUGUAUUUCAGUUUAGAGAUUUUCAAUAUGACUAUGCCGUAGAUCCCGAUAUUACCUUCAGAUAUUCGUAUCAAUAUGAUGCAUUGUACAAGGAUCUUCCAAAGAAACAGCAUACCCUGAAGAAGGCUAAAUACUGCGAAUUCUGCAAUUCAAAGAGCUUCCCACGUGAAGAGCCCACCUUCUGUUGUAGGAAAGAAAAGGUUAACAUAUAUAUUCUAGAGUUACCAGCUGGACUACGCUGAUUAUUCACGAGUCAGACUGACAAGGAUGCAAAGUAUUUUCGGAAACAAAUUCGGUAGUUUAACUUGCAUUUCUCGUUCACAAGCUUUGGAGUUUCUAUUGAUCAUCAUCUCGCGCCUGCACGAGAGUACAACAUUGAACUUAAUACCAGCAUAUCUGUUGAUCAGAGGAGAUAUAACGCACCUGGGAUGGAUCAGGUCGCUGCUAUAUGGGUGGACGGUAAUAACCCUUAGCAGAGAUUUUCUCGUAGCAUAAUAAUUUACGACAAUAAGGAUAGACCUCACCAUGUCAGGGCGUACCAUGGUUGCUACGACCCAUUAGUCUAUCCUUUGUUUUUUCCCGGUGGUGAGACCGGAUGGGAGGAUAAAAAGAUCGAGGAUCAGGUUUCACCUCCUUCUAAGCCGAAAAGAGAGUUUACGAAGCAUAAAAAGCAAGGUGAUCUUGGUGACGGUGACGAAUUAAGUGCAGUUCAGGUGCAGCCUCUUAAGAAAGCAAAUCCAGCUGAAAGGUGAGAGGUACUAUCUUCGGAUUAUGUUGAACCAUGUUAGGGGUGCAACCUCGUACGAGAAUCUGAGAACAUGCAUGGUGUUACAUAUGAGACAUUUAGGCGGGCAUGUGAGGUUAUGGGACUUGUUGAAUCAAACAAGUCACUUGAUGACUGCCUUACGGAGUCGGCUACGUUCAGGAUGCCUUAUUCGAUGCGGAGACUUUCUGCCACUAUAAUGGUUUUUUGUGAGUGUGCUAAUAUUCGACGUCUUUGGGAUAAUCAUCUUGACUCAAUGUCUGAGGAUUUUUGCCGUACAUGUGAUAAUAGCUCGAGAAUUGAACAGAUGGUGUUUAGAGAUAUAUCUUAUCAUUUGACAUCUAUGGCAAAGAUAUUAGGCACUACGGUCUUCCGGAGCUACAUGAGACUGAGGAAGAGUGGUCGAAGGAUCAUUAUAGAGAGCUUACGGAGGAACUGAAUCUUGGAUUUGAUGAGGAUCAUCUGAAAAUUAUUGGUACGCUUAAUGCAGAACAAAUGGCUGGUUAUGAAGAAAUACUUGAUCACGUGUUGAAGAACAAGGACAGGUGUUCUUUGUAGAUAGUCCUGGCAGCACCGGUAAAAUGUAUCUCUACAAGGCUUUGAUUGCUAAGGUGCGGUCAAUGGAUCUUAUUGCUACUGCUACUGCUACAUAUGGUAUAGUUGCUAGCAUUAUGCCUGGUGGGCACACCGCACAUUCCAGGUUCAAAAUUCUAAUAAAGCUGAGUGGCAAUACUAUGUGUAGCUUUACAAAGCAGAGUGACACAACGUAGUUGCUAAGAAGGACAUCUCUGGUAAUAUGGGAUGAGGUUGCAAUGACUAAGAGGCAAGCGGCUGAAACUCUUGACAGGUCAUUGCAGGAUAUAAUGGGCUGUGAGAAGCCGUUUGGAGGGAAGGUUUAUGUUGUUUGGUGGCGAUUUCAGACAGGUUCUUUCUAUGGUGCCCCGUGAUACAAGAGUCCAGAUCACAGAUGCAACCUUACUAAGGUCAUACAUAUGGGAAAGUGUUCGGCGGAUCAGGUUGACACAGAACAUGCGAGCUCAAGCUGAUACGUGGUUUGCAGAUUAAUAUUAAGGAUUGGUAACGGGACGGAGGAAAUAUUUGAUGGUGACUACGUGUGGCUGCCUGAUGACAUUUUGAUUGAGAACCCUCCGGAGGAUGAUUUCAUUGACAUUCUUAUUGAUUGUGUGUUCCCGGAUCUUGUUGCUAAUUACACUUCUGCUACUUAUAUGCGCGAGCGUGCGAUACUCUCCACCAGGAAUGAAUAUGUUGAUGCGGUGAAUGCACUUAUAACUGAUAGAUUUUCAGGGAAGCAUAAGGUUUUCUACAGCUUUGACUCUAUCGAUGAUGACUCGCGCAACAAUUAUUAUCUUGGUUUUCUCAAUUCGAUUACUCCUAAUGGGUUGCCCCCUCAUGAGUUGAAGGUUAAGAAAAAUUGUCAUGUUAUAUUGCUUCGUAAUCUCGAUCCUCGUAAUAGCUUAUGCAAUAGCACUCGGCUAGUGGUACGGGGAUUUCAGAAUACUACAAUUGAUGCGGAGAUUGUUAAUGGGUAGCGUGCAGGUAAGAGGGUGUUCAUUCCGAGGAUUCCAAUGUCUCUUUCCAAAAACCUCAUUCUUCCGUUCAAAUUUAAGAGGAAGCAGUUUCCCAUCCGGUUGAGUUUUGCUAUGACAAUUAACAAAGCGCAGGGUCAUCUCCCCGAGCCUGUAUUUUCACACGGACAGCUGUAUAUGGCGUUGUCCAGAUGUGUUUCUUGCAAAGAGAAACAUGAACAUUGAUCCUACUGGAAAGAGUAUGAAAAAUAUUGUAUACGGAGAUAUCUUGGAAUCCUGAGGUCACGGGCUUGAAGAUUAUGAGUGUUAACGGCUUAUUAGAAUAUUUUUAAAUGUUAGAAUUCGUGAUGAUUAAAUAAAUGUAUACAACUUUACAUGUCUUCAUAUUGAUACGCGACAUGUCCA